rnacentral:rRNA from 1 species
GAUGAACGCUGGCGGCGUGCCUAAUACAUGCAAGUCGAGCGAACGGACGAGAAGCUUGCUUCUCUGAUGUUAGCGGCGGACGGGUGAGUAACACGUGGAUAACCUACCUAUAAGACUGGGAUAACUUCGGGAAACCGGAGCUAAUACCGGAUAAUAUUUUGAACCGCAUGGUUCAAAAGUGAAAGACGGUCUUGCUGUCACUUAUAGAUGGAUCCGCGCUGCAUUAGCUAGUUGGUAAGGUAACGGCUUACCAAGGCAACGAUGCAUAGCCGACCUGAGAGGGUGAUCGGCCACACUGGAACUGAGACACGGUCCAGACUCCUACGGGAGGCAGCAGUAGGGAAUCUUCCGCAAUGGGCGAAAGCCUGACGGAGCAACGCCGCGUGAGUGAUGAAGGUCUUCGGAUCGUAAAACUCUGUUAUUAGGGAAGAACAUAUGUGUAAGUAACUGUGCACAUCUUGACGGUACCUAAUCAGAAAGCCACGGCUAACUACGUGCCAGCAGCCGCGGUAAUACGUAGGUGGCAAGCGUUAUCCGGAAUUAUUGGGCGUAAAGCGCGCGUAGGCGGUUUUUUAAGUCUGAUGUGAAAGCCCACGGCUCAACCGUGGAGGGUCAUUGGAAACUGGAAAACUUGAGUGCAGAAGAGGAAAGUGGAAUUCCAUGUGUAGCGGUGAAAUGCGCAGAGAUAUGGAGGGAACACCAGUGGCGAAGGCGACUUUCUGGUCUGUAACUGACGCUGAUGUGCGAAAGCGUGGGGAUCAAACAGGAUUAGAUACCCUGGUAGUCCACGCCGUAAACGAUGAGUGCUAAGUGUUAGGGGGUUUCCGCCCCUUAGUGCUGCAGCUAACGCAUUAAGCACUCCGCCUGGGGAGUACGACCGCAAGGUUGAAACUCAAAGGAAUUGACGGGGACCCGCACAAGCGGUGGAGCAUGUGGUUUAAUUCGAAGCAACGCGAAGAACCUUACCAAAUCUUGACAUCCUUUGACAACUCUAGAGAUAGAGCCUUCCCCUUCGGGGGACAAAGUGACAGGUGGUGCAUGGUUGUCGUCAGCUCGUGUCGUGAGAUGUUGGGUUAAGUCCCGCAACGAGCGCAACCCUUAAGCUUAGUUGCCAUCAUUAAGUUGGGCACUCUAAGUUGACUGCCGGUGACAAACCGGAGGAAGGUGGGGAUGACGUCAAAUCAUCAUGCCCCUUAUGAUUUGGGCUACACACGUGCUACAAUGGACAAUACAAAGGGCAGCGAAACCGCGAGGUCAAGCAAAUCCCAUAAAGUUGUUCUCAGUUCGGAUUGUAGUCUGCAACUCGACUACAUGAAGCUGGAAUCGCUAGUAAUCGUAGAUCAGCAUGCUACGGUGAAUACGUUCCCGGGUCU